rnacentral:lncRNA from 1 species
UGAUAUGAAGCAUAAGAUAAAAUAUGCUUGAAGUACAUAAGUCGAGAAAACAUUGACCAAUUUAAGAAGAAACUUGCUAUAGUAUGAGGCAUAAGGUAAAAUGUAUUCAAGGCACAUAAGUAAAAAAAACUAGACCCUUAUGGGAAGAAUCUUACCAUAGUAGGAGAUACAAGAUAAAAUAUGCCCGAGAUGCAUGAGUAGAAAAUACCCAACUUAUAUAAAAAGAAACCUGCAAUGGUGGGAGGCACAAGGCCAAAUGUGCCCAAGGACCGUGAACUAGGAAAAACCUGACCCUAUGAAAAGAAACUCAUCAUGAUAGGAAGCAUAAAGAAAAAUAUGUAUGAGACACAUGAUUCAGGAAAACUCAACCUAUAUGAGAAUAAAUCCAUCACGAUGGAAGGCAUAAAAGAAAUAGUGCUCGAGAUCAUCAUCAUCAAGCCACGAAGAUCAGACACUUGACCCUUGUCUUCUUGCCAAGGCAUGAAGGUUGGGAAAUCGAUCCCUUUUCGUUAUUGCUAAGCCAUAUACAUUGGGCACCC